rnacentral:rRNA from 1 species
UACGGGGGGGGCAAGCGUUGUUCGGAAUUACUGGGCGUAAAGGGCUCGUAGGCGGCCAACUAAGUCCGACGUGAAAUCCCCAGGCUUAACCUGGGAACUGCGUCGGAUACUGGAUGGCUUGAAUUCGGGAGAGGGAUGCAGAAUUCCAGGUGUAGCGGUGAAAUGCGUAGAUAUCUGGAGGAAUACCGGUGGCGAAGGCGGCAUCCUGGACCGACAUUGACGCUGAUGAGCGAAAGCUAGGGGAGCGAACAGG